CUUCCUACGGGAGGCAGCAGUAGGGAAUAUUGCACAAUGGAGGAAACUCUGAUGCAGCGACGCCGCGUGAGUGACGAAGGCCUUCGGGUUGUAAAGCUCUGUUCUCAGGGAAAAAGCAAGUGAUGUCCGGG
rnacentral:rRNA from 1 species